rfam:Jeotgalibaca sp. PTS2502, complete genome.
GAAUAGCCUUGUUAGGUGAGGCGUCUGUACGAGAGAUACGCUACUGCCCAGAAAUGUCGAAAGACACCAAUGGGUUACCAGGAAUUUUCGAAUUAAGGGGAUUUUUAAUGUAGCUGGGGUUUUACCCCUAUGCCGUACAGUGCUAAAGCUCAAUGAAGAGGUCAUUA